UUACCGAGUGGCGGACGGGUGAGUAACGCGUGAGCAACCUACCCUGCAACGGGGGACAACAGUUGGAAACGACUGCUAAUACCGCAUAAGACCACGAAACCGCAUGGUUUAGAGGUAAAAGGAUUAAUUCGAUCGCAGGAUGGGCUCGCGUCCCAUUAGAUAGUUGGUGAGGUAACGGCCCACCAAGUCAACGAUGGGUAGCCGACCUGAGAGGGUGAUCGGCCACACUGGAACUGAGACACGGUCCAGACUCCUACGGGAGGCAGCAGUGGGGAAUAUUGGGCAAUGGGCGAAAGCCUGACCCAGCAACGCCGCGUGAGGGAAGAAGGUCUUCGGAUUGUAAACCUUUGUCCUAUUGGGACGAAACAAAUGACGGUACCAUAGGAGGAAGCUCCGGCUAACUACGUGCCAGCAGCUGC
rnacentral:rRNA from 1 species